GAUGAACGCUAGCGGCAGGCUUAAUACAUGCAAGUCGAGGGGUAGCAAGAUUGUAGCAAUACAAUUGUUGACGACCGGCAAACGGGUGCGGAACACGUACACAACCUUCCUACAAGUGGGGAAUAGCCCAGAGAAAUUUGGAUUAAUACCCCGUAACAUAGCGAUGUGGCAUCACAUUGCUAUUAUAGCUUCGGCGCUUGUUGAUGGGUGUGCGGCUGAUUAGAUAGUUGGCGGGGUAACGGCCCACCAAGUCUACGAUCAGUAGCUGAUGUGAGAGCAUGAUCAGCCACACGGGAACUGGGACACGGGCCCGACUCCUACGGGAGGCGGCAGUAAGGAAUAUUGGACAAUGGACGCAAGUCUGAUCCAGCCAUGCCGCGUGAAGGAUUAAGGUCCUCUGGAUUGUAAACUUCUUUUAUAAGGGACGAAAAAAGGUCUUUCUAGAUCGUCUGACGGUACCUUAUGAAUAAGCACCGGCUAACUCCGUGCCAGCCGCCGCGGUAA
rnacentral:rRNA from 1 species